UGGCUGUCGUCAGCUCGUGUUGUGAAAUGUUGGGUUAAGUCCCGCAACGAGCGCAACCCUUAUCCUUUGUUGCCAGCGGUUAGGCCGGGAACUCAAAGGAGACUGCCAGUGAUAAACUGGAGGAAGGUGGGGAUGACGUCAAGUCAUCAUGGCCCUUACGACCAGGGCUACACACGUGCUACAAUGGCAUAUACAAAGAGAAGCGACCUCGCGAGAGCAAGCGGACCUCAUAAAGUAUGUCGUAGUCCGGAUUGGAGUCUGCAACUCGACUCCAUGAAGUCGGAAUCGCUAGUAAUCGUAGAUCAGAAUGCUACGGUGAAUACGUUCCCGGGCCUUGUACACACCGCCCGUCACACCAUGGGAGUGGGUUGCAAAAGAAGUAGGUAGCUUAACCUUCGGGAGGGCGCUUACCACUUUGUGAUUCAUGACUGGGGUGAAGUCGUAACAAGGUAACCGUAGGGGAACCUGCGGUUGGAUCACCUCCUUA
rnacentral:rRNA from 1 species